AGUGAACGCUGGCGGUAGGCCUAACACAUGCAAGUCGAACGGCAGCACAGUAAGAGCUUGCUCUUACGGGUGGCGAGUGGCGGACGGGUGAGGAAUACAUCGGAAUCUACUUUUUCGUGGGGGAUAACGUAGGGAAACUUACGCUAAUACCGCAUACGACCUACGGGUGAAAGCAGGGGAUCUUCGGACCUUGCGCGAUUGAAUGAGCCGAUGUCGGAUUAGUUAGUUGGCGGGGUAAUGGCCCACCAAGGCGACGAUCCGUAGCUGGUCUGAGAGGAUGAUCAGCCACACUGGAACUGAGACACGGUCCAGACUCCUACGGGAGGCAGCAGUGGGGAAUAUUGGACAAUGGGCGCAAGCCUGAUCCAGCCAUACCGCGUGGGUGAAGAAGGCCUUCGGGUUGUAAAGCCCUUUUGUUGGGAAAGAAAAGCAGCAGGUUAAUACCCCGCUGUUCUGACGGUACCCAAAGAAUAAGCACCGGCUAACUUCGUG
rnacentral:rRNA from 1 species